UGAGGCUGAUUAGCAAGCACAAGGUUUCGGACGCCCUUCCCAAGAGUGCCUGGAUCUAGGAUAUCUCGGGCAACCCGCAAGCUUGCAGUCCAUCUUGUCGAAUUUCUCCAUCUUGCAGAUUCUCUCGCGGUCAUGCAGGACGAGAGGAUGUCCUUGUUUGGGGCUGGUCGGCCUUUGGGACCUACCCCGCCAAAUUGACCGACAUACACUUCUUGUGAGUGCUAAGUUCCCCAACAUGGACGCAUAUUUGGCGUUGUUGGGCCCUGGUUGAGGUGCCGAAUCUGGUUGUGGCUAACUUGUGCUAAUCGGUGUUGGACGGCCGAUCUCCUUGAGCGACGGGAUCUCCCCUUCAAUGAGUGUUGCCCCGUUUGUGAUCAGGAGCCGGAGACCAUGGCUCAUCUCCUCUUGGGAUGUGUCUUCACGAGGUCGAUCCUCCAGGAGGUCAUGUCUGAAGCUAGGGCGCUCGUGUGCUUACCGAGACACUCUGAAGACCUCUCUACUCCGUUAGCAGUCAACAGGUCAAAGCUGUCUGUUCCCUUCUUCUCUCUCCCUUUGACGGAUCUGGAAGCUUCGUAGUGCUUGCAUUUUUUAGGGUGCUACUUUGCUCGCUUGGCCGAAGAUAUUCUUAUUGAGGCGGACCUAUGGCGGCACGCAUGCACGCGUGCCUUGAGCCACCCCUCCCCCUGCAUGCCGGAUGCUAGCCUUAGCCCUCCGGGAUUUUCUUUCUCUUCCUUUUGGGGGGUCUCCUCAUUUUCUUUUGUUUUUGUUUUCUUGUUGUCUUCUUGCACUUGCAUCUUCUUCUUAAUGAAAAUGAAGCGCCGCUUAGCGUGUGCGAGAAGAAUUAGACAUCUCUGUCAGAAAUUAGCACGGCUGCAUAAGAAUAAACUAGUUUAAUUUUAUAAGCAUCUCAUUGAGCACCUUCUUGUAUUGUACAUGCUCUCAUGAAGUUACGAUCUUAAUUGGUCUGCAGGGUGCGCCAACAAAUGUUCCAAGUGAUCCCAAAGGGUUGCAACUUGUACUGGAGUACCUGAAAGAAGCCUAUGGGAACCCUCCCCUUUAUGUCCACGAGAAUGGCAAGCACAUACUUACCUCCCAAAAAAAACAAGGAUGACCAAGCCCAUGCAGUUUAACACAAAGCAAAGUCUGCAUUAACUAAUUAAGUUGCUUCUUAACCCUAAUUUUCAUCUCAGCAGGCCUGGGAUCUGCCAACGACGACCUCGAUGACACUGACAGGGUCGAUUACCUGAGCAGCUACAUGGGAAGCACACUAGAUGCAAUAAGGUACGCUCCCUCCGAUUCUAAAUUAUUGAAUUAACAACAAAAAUUUAGUAUCGGAAGGAGUACUUGAUUCAUGACCAAAUACACACGACUGCGUAUUUCUAGAGUACUUGAUUCAUGACAAAAUACACACGAGUGCGUAUUUCUAUGUCAUGAAAAACAAAGAAAGAAAAUAUUCGACCAUAACGGGAUGGAUACCCUUGUUGUUCCGCAGGAAUGGGGUUAACGUGAGAGGCUACUUCACGUGGGCAUUCAUGGACCUGUUCGAACUCCUAGCAGGAUAUCAGUCAAAAUACGGCCUGUACCGUGUCGAUUUCGACGACGUGAGGCGGCCUCGGCAACCCAGGCUCUCGGCUCGUUGGUACUCCGUAUUUCUGAAGAAGAAUGGAUCUUCUCCUCUAGUGUCAGGAACACAGGAGGACCUGACGCUGAACACCGUGUCCUAAGUUUGGUGUGCGCGUACGCGAGAUGGCACGUGUGCGUAUGCAACGCUCUUGUCUAUGGUUUAUGGUUUGAUAGGAGGCUGCUCAAUGCAAUUUUCUUUUUUCAGAAUAAUGGUGGUGCGGAAUCCAAGUACAAAUACAUAUAUUUAUUUGAGGAUGUACGGUUCUCAAAUUCUCACCUUUGACGGAUGAGCGACUCGUCGGUAACUUAUUGUCAUUUACAAAAUCAUUUGGUUGUGUGCAUCCAUCGACGCAGAGGUCGGCGGUACUCCCUCCAUUUGAUUUGUUUUUUACAAAGUCAUCAGCGAUAACACGUAAGUGGAGACAAACAAGCACAUCGUGGCCGGAUGAGUAAGGUUUGUUAGAAGUGACUUUUCUAGCGUGGCCGGACGAGUAAGGUUUGUUAGAAGUGAUUUUUCUAGGCAGAAGCCUAUUGUAGGUGUCACCACUGACUGGCCAUUAAUGAUGGUUCAUCGGUGAUAGGUCAUAUCUAAUGGAUCUUUUUAAUAUAUCUGUCAGCGUACAAUUUUUAUAUUACUGCUGCACCACUAAUUGUCGAAGAAAAAUUCAAUCUCCCUUUUGAAUUUGACGUAGAGUAAUAAAGCCCGUAAAAAAAUAGCUCCGUUUAACUUAAAAAACAGUAUUCCUUCCGACCGGUAUUACUUGUCUCAAAUUUGUCCAAAUACGGAUGUAUCUAUGUGUAAAAUGUGUCUAGAUACAUGUAAUAUUUCGACAAGUAAUUCCGGCCGGAGGGAGUAGUAACUGUCUCCAUGAUGGUAUAUAGGGAUGUAAGCGGGCUCCCGCUUCUAGUUCAUUUGAAAUUUGCUACUUUCUCCGUCCAAUAAAAGAUGUCUCAAGUUUGUCAAAAAUUGGAUGUAUCUAAACAUGACUUGCACCGCGAUGUUCGACGCAUGUCGAGGAGUUAGCUGAGGUGUUUCAAGCCGGACGUGGUGGUGCUGGUGUGAGCAUGCUCAAGGCAUCUUGGAGAUCCUGGUUGAGACGGCUCCGGUGGACAUGUAUGUAGGGCAAGGAGGAGGCCUCUGUGCGUUCGCUGCCGCGUCGUCGUGCUAUGGAAUUCAAUGAUCGGAGGGCUUGCACCGCGCCAGGUGGGGAAAAGCAAAAUCAAAUGUAUGCGCGGGGGGCAAUGGCGGAUGGCGGAUCGCUGUCGCUCGCUUUCGGGAUUCGGCUGCCUGUGUGUCUCGACCCGAGAAGGGAAAUCACGUCAAGAUCGCAGCAGCAGCAGCUGAUGGCAACCUGCACUCCAGCGGCAAAUGUCUGCGCUGUUCACAUUAAUUUGGUACUACAUCCGACGGAGAAAGGUGAAUCUCGUUUUACUAUCUUUGCCAUUAUUGGAACAUCUGCGUCGUUCACAUUUGGUGCAUCAGUCCUGGGACCAUUAUCUGCUGGAGUAGAUGCAGCAGUGAUCGACAAAGUACUCUGAGAAGCACCACGAAGGUCUAGCAAGGUGGCCGUACGUGCAGUUCUUCUGCACAAAUGUUCUUUUUUCUCCCGAAACAAACCUCAUCCUCCAUAAGAUCGAUCGCUGGCUCUUGCUGUCUUGCAUCCUGUUGACACCGCACUACGCCCUCCAUUUUCCAGCCAAUUGUAGAUUUGUAGCGCACUACAUGCAGCGCCCUGUUUAACCUCACCAUAAAGCAAGAACCUGGAGAAGAGGGAUAGGCAAGCAAGAACCUAGAGAAGAGGGUAGGCAGGCAGAUGCUGGUGCUCAAUUUGGUACUCUCAUUCCUCAUCCUUUCUCCGGUCAUUCUUGUGAUCCACAUUAAAUAUAAGGCGUUGGCUCCAUCACUUCCUACUGGGUUCUCUCUCACAGCAAACAAACAAAGAAAGCAUGAUGCACAUGGUAGAUGCGGACUGGGAUCCCCUGACAUGUGCCAGUGUAACAUGUGGGCCCCACAAGUCAGUGGCCCCAUGUUACCCGGACAUGUGUCAGGUGAUGGACAUGUCUACUGCAAACAUUCUAUAAUUUGAUAAAUUUGUAUGAGGGUGAUGUUGAGGUCCACUGUCGUAUAAAUACUCCCCGAAAGACCGAAUCAACGCAAGAACAUAAACAUAAAUGGGUCUUGCUGCCUUCUUUUUUAUCUUGCUGUCCCUCUGGGUUCAGGAUGCAGCUGCCACUAUUGGUUUCACAAGAGGUGAUUUUGCACAAGACUUCGUCUUUGGAGCUGGAACCUCAGCAUACCAGGUAACAUGAUGAAAUCUUGUUUGUGCUGAAAAUUAUGGCUUGCUAAAGUUUGAUGUUCCCCAUCUGCAUAUAGUACGAGGGUGCUGUUGCUGAGGAUGGCAGGAGUCCAAGCUUUUGGGACACUUUCACUCAUGCAGGUUAGUUGCUAACUUGCUACCUAUUUGUGCGGUUUAUCUUUCUGAUUUUGGAGUGCUGCAACAUCUGAUUAAAUUUUGGGCUGCAAAUUUGAUAAAAGGAAUUGAUGUGCAUGGUAGCAUGUGACUAUUUUUGUUUUUUGUUUGUACUCCAAGAAUUGGAGUAUUUCUAGUUGCUAACAAGUAGAGAUUUUCACAAUUCCUGAUCAUUUUUCAUGACCAAUGGAGUAGAAAUUUGAGACCAGUUCCCUGUCAGACAAACACUUCCAUACAAGCACGUUGUUGUUGCUAAAGCAGCACGAAAUUGAACAUGGUAAUAGCCAAGGCCAUAACCGGCACCGCAUGUGGUUGAUCAUUGUUGACAGGUAAAAUGCCAGACAAAAGCACAGGAGAUAUUGCUGCAGAUGGGUACCAUAAAUACAAGGUAAACAAUAAGAGAAAAAUCUUCUGCUCGUGUUUCUUGGAACUCUAUGUUUAUGCAUUCACAUUAGGACAAAUUGCACCUUUCUCAGAUCUAGCAAUUCCAAAAGAAAUCAUGUACAAUUACUUGUCUGAUAUUUCAGGAGGAUCUCAAGCUCGUAUCUGAGACAGGCCUAGAGGCCUAUAGGUUCUCAAUCUCCUGGUCAAGGCUCAUCCCAAGUACAGAAUUCCUUGUAAGGUUCAUCAUGGCAUGCCAUUUUAAUUUUUUAUUCUUUUCUAACUGUUUCAGCAAAUUUCUUUGUUCGCAGAUGGACGUGGCGCUGUCAAUCCCAAAGGUCUAGAGUACUACAAUAACAUCAUAGAUGAACUAGUGAAACAUGGUAAAUACUCUUUCCAUUUCUCUAUGUCUGUCCUUGGCCCUCGGGUCUCUGUUCCAAAAUCUUUGUCCCAGAAUCAAUAGUGUAGCUAAUUCAAUUCUUCUACUCCCUACCCCUACUUUAAUGUUUUUUUACCGAAUACUUUAAUGUUUUAGAAUUAGUUAUGUGGUUGUACUCCGUAGCAUACUAGAAUGGCAUUUGAUAAGGCUAUGCAUAUUCAUUUCAUUAAUAACUCUUUUGUAGAUUUAGUUUUCCAUUUGCAUGUGUACAUGGUGGACUCAGGACAGAUAUAGCCUUAUAUUUUAACCUUUGAUCAUCCAAAUGCAAUCCAGGCUUAGGUUCAUUUGUUAGAUCUUAACAUUGUUUUUCUUAGAGAUGUAUUAAUGUAUACACUAAUAAAUGUUUUGUCCAGGCAUUCAAAUACACAUCACACUUCACCAUGUAGAUCUCCCUCAAAUUCUUGAAGACGAGUAUGGUGGAUGGUUAAGCCCCAGAAUUAUGUAAGUUUGCAUAAGGCUUCAAAAAAAAAGAGAGAAAUAACUUUCUUUCUGAGUGGCAGUUCUGUAGUAACAGUGGCAUACAACCUAACUACAGUAUUCAUGGUUUUGCAUCUGCAAAAUGCAGCGAAGAUUUCACAGCAUAUGCAGAUAUUUGCUUCAGGGAGUUCGGAGAUAGGGUCACGUACUGGACUACGGUUAAUGAACUGAACGGUUGUGCAAUUGCCUCUUAUGGCAGCGGUCAAUUUCCACCUGGAAGAUGCUCAGAUCCAUUUGGAAUAACACAGUGCGCAGGGGGGAACUCCAGCACUGAACCAUACAUAGCAGUUCAUACUACCCUAUUGGCGCAUGCAUCAGUUGUCAAACUGUACAGAGAAAAAUAUAAAGUGAGUAAAUGAUCUUGUACCCAAAAUAGUUUCGUUGCCCUUUAGGGUCUUCAGGAACUGUGACAGUAUUAGCCAUCUUAGCUUAUCUCAAUGGUGAAACCACUAUUUUCAGUCGUUGCACAUUGACCAUACCAUAACUCAUCUUUGUGAUACACGUUUCAGAAGAAUAUUGCCUUUUCCUAUUUCCUGUUACAGUGCAAAUUUUUAGAGGUGCAGCACUGCAGCCUACAGAGUAGACUCAUACAAGAAACUUUUGGAUGCAGGCUGAGCAAAAAGGAGCUGUGGGCAUAAAUAUCUACUCCUUCUGGAGUUAUCCGUUCAAAAAUUCUAGUGUGGAUUUAGAAGCAACUCAAAGAGCUAAGGAUUUCAUGUUUGGCUGGUACGGUAUUUACGUAAAUCUUGCACUAGAAACAUGUCAAAUGCAUAAUCCUGCAUGUUGAGAGCCUAACCCUGACACUGACAGGAUACUGGAGCCUUUGGUGUCCGGGGACUACCCAGAAGUAAUGAAGAAGAUUGUUGGCUCUCGCCUUCCAUCCUUCACAAAAGUUCAGUCUGGACUUAUCAAGGAUUCUUUUGAUUUUUUUGGAAUAAAUCACUACUAUUCUCUCUAUGUGAGUGACCGUCCUAUAGAAACAGGUGUUCGAGACUUCUAUGGAGACAUGUCCAUUAGUUACAGAGGUAAACAUCUUUUUUGUUCUUCUUCUGAUGGUGAUAGGUCAAAUUGUUGCUUGACUACUAGUAAUUUUGUGACAUGUACAAUUUGAUUCUUCUUUAUAAAUUAAAAUAACUGAGCACACAAGCAAAUGCUGCAAGUAAGAUAUGCAAAUAUAAACUGAGAAUCUGCUACAAUGUAUUCUACUAAUAAUAAAGAAAAGCAGCCUUUCCAGAUCAAUGAGUCAUAUAACACGGACAACUCUCUGAGUGCAGUGUUCUGUCAAAAUCACCGCAAAAACAUGUUUGCCGUCUUGAAAGUGACAUUUAUUCACCACCUUAUUAGAGAAAUACAGUGAUUUUAUGAUUGCAGUGGCGUGCCUUUGUUGCUCUAACAAGAUAAUUAUUUGUGUGCUGCAGCUUCUAGGACCGGUCCGCCAGCAGGUCAGGUAAAAUCCUGUCGUUGUGUGAGGUUGCCAACUCCAAACCUUUUGGUCGUGCACUGCAACUAUUGAAUUAGAAUACCGAACUGACUCAAGAGAUUAGACCAAAAGAAUGCUUAAAACUGAUGAUGUGAUCAAGGUUGACAAAACAAUUUUGGUUCAUAACCGUCAUAGUUAUGAUCUUGAUUGGUCUGCAGGGUGCCCCAACAAAUGUUCCCAGCGAUCCCAAAGGGUUGCAACUUGUACUGGAGUACCUGAAAGAAGCAUAUGGGAACCCUCCCCUCUAUGUCCACGAGAAUGGCAAGCAAAUACUUCCCUCAGAAAAAAGAAAAAAAGGAUGACAAGCCCAUACAGUUUAACACGAAGCAAAGUUGUCUGAACUAAUCAAGUUGCUCCUUGUUUCUCAUCUCACCAGGUGUGGGAUCUCCCAACGACAGUCUCAAUGACAACGACAGGGUCGAGUACUUGAGCAGUUACAUGAGAAGCACACUAGACGCAAUAAGGUGCUUGAUUCACGACCAAAUGCACAACCUGCGAAAUAAAUAUUCCACCCUGACAGGAUGCCCUCUUGUUGUUUCCGCAGGAAUGGGGUUAACGUGAGAGGCUACUUCGUCUGGGCAUUCAAGGACCUAUUCGAACUCCUGGCAGGAUAUCAGUCCAAAUAUGGUCUGUACCGCGUCGAUUUCGACGACGUGAGACGGCCGCGGCAAGCCAGGCUCUCGGCUCGCUGGUACUCGGGCUUCCUGAACAAGAAUGGGUCCUCUCUUCUACUUUUAACAACACAGGAGGGCCUGAUGCCGAAGUGAACACCGCGUCCUAAGUUUGGUUCACGUGCUCAAGAGAUGGCAGUGCACGUAUGCACGCGCUAGUCUAGAGUUUGACAGAAGGCCACUGUAUUGAGCGGCAGAUUCUGAAUCUUUCUUUUCUGAAAAGACUGGUGGUACGAAAGAACUCGAGUAUAAAAACACACACAUAUUUAUUUACAAAAUAAACGGCUCGUAUUUAUUUCAGUGAAGGCAGGCUCCUGUGGAACAUGAUCCACACCACUGUGCCCAGGGGCGGCGUAGUUAGUGGGGGCUGGCGUCGAGGUGUAGUUCAGGAUGUGGUCGUUGAGAACGCGUCGUUGCGUCACGCUCUUGUGCUCAGCUGGGCGGCUGCUUGAACUCCUGAGUUCGGCGGAGAUAGAUGAUUGUGAAGGACUCAAAAACCAGCUCCUGCACAUUUCCCAGCCCCGUGGACUGCACACCGGCCAUAUAUAGCUCCUCCGCCUCUUGGAAGUGAACAUGAAAAACGUAAGCCUCGUACAACCAUCCCCAUUAGGAUACAAAGCUAGCAAUCUUCCACGCUCAUCAUCUUUUCGGCACCUUUCCGAGCCACUCUCCGCUGUGCCUGAGCCUGCAAGGUGUACUGCUUUUGCAGCACCUGGAGCCUCUCCAGGAGUUCUCGGAAUGAAGGGCGGCGUUGCGGGUCACUUGCUCACAGAAAGGAUAACCGUUUAGCGGGACCAGGGAUCGGUUGUUUACUACUACUAGUGCAUAAGACGUUGAUAUAUACCUGACCCAGCAACUCUCGAUCAUCGAUGACCACUGAGGGUCUGCGUCGCUUGGAAUUUCCAGUCUGUGAUCCAUGAAACCCACUGCUCCAAUAACCUGUGGCAUAGGUAAGGAUCGUAACAUUACGGAUUUGACACUAAUGGAAAAGCUUCUGCUGUUAUGUCCCCAAAAAAUUAAGCAAGAGACUAGCUUUUCUUAAACUGCAAUGGUGAUGAUCCGAGUUUUUCUUUUACUUAAACUAUAAAAGCUGUGUGAUUGUAGUCCGACAGUAUAUAGAUAUACUAUAAUUUUUACAAAGUGAGACACCAAAGUAGACCUUUGAGCACACCUGACUAGUAAUACAAAACAGACAUGCACAUAGCAAAUAUGUACCUGCAUUGUAUUGAGAGUAUCCCAUGGUACCUUCUGAGUAAUAAGCUCCCAUAGGACCACUCCAUAGCUGUAUACAUCAGACCUAUAUUUACCAAAAAAGGAAGAAAUGACAAAUGAGUAACCAUCUGUAGCUGUAGGUAGCAGGAAUAUCUGUUGUUCAGGAAUGUGAUGUUAAACUUACUUUUCAUUUGAAGGUUCACUUCGUAACACCUCUGGAGCCAUCCACUGCGGCUGGAUAUGGAAGCUAAGCUAUCAGAUGUUAUGUAAAUAAACAGAAAAAAUGUAGUAGGUGAAAGCUUAUGACUAUCUUGUAAAUUAGUCCGGAGAAUCCAUGUCAAAAAGUCCAGUUUGCUUGUACUUACUGUUCCUUUUCCAGUUUUUGUCGUCAGAAAUGUUUCAAGUUUGAGACGUGAAAGACCAAAGUCUGCAACCUAAUUGAACAAAGUGAGAAAAGAAAGCAUAAAGUAUGAGGAACUAACUUUCAUAGUUACCUUUACAGUCCAGUUCUUAUCAACCAACAGGUUUGACGAUUUUAAAUCACGGUGCACAACAGUGGGGAUGGAAUUGUGAAGAUAAUUCAUGCCCCUUGCCUGCAACAAUAUCAAUUAUGUUUAAGAAUCCAUAUGGCAAUCAAAGCUUCCAUACAGACAAAAUACAUACUUAUCAAACAAAAUAGUACCAACUUCUAUCUCCAGCGAUUGACUUUUGGUGAUAUAUUCUUUGGUUGCGAUCAUAAUAAUAAGAUACCAUGUUAGAUGGAAGGUACUAGUCUACUACAUGAUAUCACGUCUUUUCUUGUUCAUUCUUCCAUGCACUGAAGCUACAGAAAUGGCAAAGUUUGCAUGCAAUUCAACUCCACUUCUACACAGUUACAAAGAGUAGUCCUGUAUCUAUUCCAAAUGUAUCAUGAGAUGUUCAAGUGAAGAAUGUUUAUCCAGUUUUUCUGGAUAAUUUACAAAUAUUUAUUUCUCAAAACUUCCAUAUAAUUUAUUUCACUUGGCAUUUCCUGAUUCCUGGAAGUUGUUAAGAAGAAUACACUCACUAUGUCUAUAGCCAUGUUAACUCUCCUUCUGGGAUCCAGCUUGCCAGUGUUCUUUUGAAGCAACCGAAAUAAACUCCCUCUGCAUUAUGGAACCCAGUAAAGUGCUACACAGAGCAACCAAAAAAAUUUGAUCUCUUAUGAGAUUGUGAAGUCUAAGCAAUUACAGAAGAACGUCAAAACUCAAUUUCCAAUAACAAGAUGGUUCAAAACCCAGGGAAAACAAAAACUAGUCCAACUAGCACAAAAUAAAUGCAUGGUAAGUCAGCAGUCAUUUCAGUAUCAAAUUAAAGGGACCAAGAGUAGUUCGAGAAGAAAAAAAGGACCAAGAGUAUACCAGUACCCUUUUGAAAAAAAUGAAUUCAAACCGGGUGGUUGGUUACACAACCAUCUCCAUCCGCACCAGCCAUCGAGCCACCCAUUAAUCCUUAGAAGUGGUUUCAGUAGUAUGUGAAAAAAAAGGCCUUUACGCAAGUUGUAUUCAGAAUUCGGAUCUUCAAGCCCGGUCACUUAUGCAACAGUGGAUCAACAAGAACAAGGAGGUUUACUAACGUUUCAAACCAAAGCAUAUAUGGUAAGUUGUAUUUGGAUCUUCAACCCUAGCUUGCUUAUCUGAUAGCGUAUCAACAAGAACAAGGAGGUUUACUACUCCCUCUGACCCAUAUUACUUGUCUCAAAUUUGCCCAAAUAUGGAUGUAUCUAUGUUUAAAAAGCAUCUAAAUACAUGUAAUAUAUGGGUCGGAGGGAGUAAUUACAUUUUAGACCAGGACAUAUAUGGUCAAGAACUCCUUGGUAAGAAACAUGAAUUAUAUUAUUAUUUUAAUAGCCCAUAUCGUCAUAUAGAAAACUACUCCCUCCUUUUCACAAAGGUUGGCGUAUUUGGUUUUUUUAAGACAAAGCUUUGACCAAUGAAUUAGAAAAUGAACAUGUGUUUUUUCAUACAUGAAAUUUAUAUCAAUAGAUUCAUCUUCACAAGUUUUUACUAAUAAUUGUGGUUUCGUAUUAUAUAAAUUACAUAUUAAUAAAGUUAUCAUUUGUCAAAGCCUUGUCUUAAUGAAACCAAAUAUGCCAACCUUUGUGAAAAGGAGAGAGUACUGCUUAGUCUUUAUCUUGCACCAGGUAAAGGAAAAAGUAACAACCUCAGAGAAAAAAAUGUAGGAGAUAUAUAGCAUACCGUGGGAGAAAUUCCGUAACAAUACAAAGUUGUUGCUGUGACGCAGCGGCACCCAUGAAAAGUAUUAUAUUGGGAUGCCGUAGUUUCUUCAUCAAUGAUACCUACAUAUUUGAAGACGCAAAUAUGGUCAUGACCACAUACUAUGGAAGAGGAAUCACACGAACAUGAUUUAGCCAAUGUAUUGCUAACUGAUGUAGCCUACAAAAAUGUCAACGAAAGUGAAGAUCUGUUAACACCGUAUCCUUUCUUCAUAUUUAUCCAUAUGAUUACAUCAACAUAGAAUAUUGAAUAUAGCAAUUAUAGAUUAUGUGAACAUCAGGAGGUCCUUGCAAUGUUCUCGAGUAUAUUUCUCAAUAAUACAGUACAUAUAAUGCAGCUCUGUUGACAUCAUAUUCAAUUUCCUGAGUAAUUGAGGGCCAACAAAAAUUGUAUUUAGAUAUAGAUGUCCACCUCUUGUCUGAAUGUAUUUAUCAUUUCUUCUGAAUAUUCCUGUUUGGAGAAUACUUUAACUGCCACAUCCUACAGGAACAUAGAUAAAUAGUGAGAAUUUUUUGUUAAGAUGUAAAGUUUCUAUCAUUAUCAGAAAGAGAACGUACAUACCGAGCCAUACCACAAAGCAUGAUACACUGUUCCGCAAGAACCUGCAUGUAUCAAACAUGAAAAUAGCACAAAUGAGUGGCAUUUGUUACAAAAGAGGACAAUACUAGAUUGUAUACAGCAGUCUAAGAAUAGUCGUAUUCUUGUUAAUUCUGCUGUCUGAUUAUCUAGGUGAUCUUUCUGCAGUAAACAAAGAGAAGAGGCAGUGAGAAUGUACUUAUAAAGAACUGAUUUGGAUUAUGCCAAUUGUAAGAGGAGCAUACAUGAGCUACUAUUAAGAGACGUGCAUAGCGAGGAACAAUUGACAAAGAACGAACUGCUUAAGUACAGUGCCUAUGCCUAAAUCUUCUGAAGUACAAGCUAUAAUACAUUGACAAAGAACAGACAUGCAUAGUGAGCAAUCCAUUACAAGAUAUAGCUAUCCCUAUGCCUAAAUAUAUAUAUUUUUUUCAAGACAAUCUUUGAAGCACAUAUCAACAAGAUAUGGGAGUGUUUACAUGUGCAGACAGAUGGAGGAAUUGCAAAGGGCGAAGUAACUACCUUGGCCUACUUGUUCUCCAAUUACUAGGUCUUCCCACAGAAUCUCGUAAUCUAAACAAUCUCCUUCAUAAUCUACUCUGUCGAUAGCACUGCUAUUAGUACUCCCAGGGCUGCUCAUACUACUCAUGCUGGUAUUGUUGAAAGUCCACCAGGAACCUGAGACCUCAUAUGUGCUUGCCUGGGCAUAUUCAGUGUCUUGGCAGUCUGGAAUUAUGAUAGGCUCUAGAACUGGAACUCUCCGAUCACUCUCGUCAUUCUCUUGCUUAUGAUGCAACUGUGUCGGGGCCAUGUUAUUCUUUCCAGAACCCUCAUCAGUUUCAUGCCCUUUCCAAGGCCAUGAUAUUCCCUUCUUGGACAAUAAUGCCUCAGCCUUUGAAGUGAACAUCUUGUGAAACCCUACUUUUCCUUCACCUGAAUCAUCACUAUUUGUUUUACUCGACUUCCGAGGCGAUUUCUCUUCGGCAACAAAGGCAUCAUGCAGUACAUCCCCACUUGGGGUGCUUUCUUCACUUGAUGUCAGCUCCACCCUGACACCAUGUUCAGAAUAUUGGCCCUCACAGCCACUGCCAUACUGUUUGUCACAAGUCUGACCUGUCUUUAUCCGAGAACGAACUUUCCUUGUAACCUUGCUAGCCUGUGUUGUUAUUCUAAUAUAAGGAAGAGAAUACACUAGGAAAUAAUUUGUGACGAAAUACCAGAAAGAGAAGCAUUCCAUUGAAACUAAACAGUGCAGUCCUUUCUCUUUGCUCAGAAAUAUGACUUACAAAGGUAGUUAUCUUGGAGGUGAUAGCAGUUUGCAGAGGUUGCUGUGAGCCAGAAGAACCUUUAUCUAGCGAACCACUUUUAGGCUCAUUGUUAGCAUGAAAAUAGGGCUUUGCUGAACUUUGGUAGGAUUCUGCUGAGGCUGGAGGACUAAAUAUCUCCUCCAAUGCCCGUGUAUCAAGUGACAGACAUAUGAGGCCAACCAAGCUACCAUCGUCAUCGUAUAAAGGAGUGUUAUGAACAACAAUAAAAAACCGCUCUCCUGACUUGUUUUUAACGGGAAACUUCCCUCUAAAACACUUCCCCAUAAAUAUACUCUGGAUAACGACGUAGGCCGCGUCGAAGUCAGCAGGAUGACAAAUUAAUUCAACGGCAUCCUGGCCAAUUGCUUCUGAUGCAGAAUAGCCAUACAUAUGCUCGGCAUACCGGUUCCUAGGUCACAGUAAAAAGCGGACAAUUUGGUAAGCAUAGCAAUUGAACAGAGUCAGCUGUGUGUAGAAAUGCAGACUACAUUAAGAAUUCCCAUGCCUCUUGAGCCAGGUUGACCAGUCGUGAGCAUGUGAUCUACACUGAUUGCAUGCAUCAAAACGUGCCUUGACCUACCCUAAGUAAGUUACAUUACUUAUGUAUGCAUGAUGUGUUCAUAAUAAACAGCAAUGAAAAUGUCAGUUAGUUUACUUCCCAAGUCGCUGGCCAAUGUCAUAAGACACCUCAGUGUUAUCACUGGAAGAAGCUAGAGACUGCAAAUCCAUUAUUCUAAAAUUGGUAACUGCUUUCCUCCCAUGAAAGCAUUAGUUUCCCUCUACCACAGAACGCUGAUCGACCAAGACCAGUUCAAUUGCUUCAAUACAGCCCUAGGAAAGAACAUUAAAUUUUCCAACAACACACAAGAUUUGUCCAAGUCAAACUAAGUUGAAGUUCAGAGUUGAUGUUUUUAGAUCUACAUAAGUACCAGCAUCAUGUAUUCACUCAUCAAGAUUACAUAAACUAAGCACAAAGCCCCAUAUCUUACACUUGAACCUAUGCUUAAUACUGUUCCAGCAUUUCAUCGAACAUUUGGUGAACAUUGAGCAAACGCAACCGAACCAAGACAUGCAAGGGACCUCACCAGUACAGGAGCUUCCCAUCGGGUGCAAUGAUGUGCACGGCCUGUCCCAGAGACUGCAGUAUCCAGUGGCAGUGCCUGUCGGACAACCUGCCGGGGCUCUCGCGGAGCACCCGCGAGGAUUGCGGGGGCGCGGCGGCGGCGACGGCGCGCCGCGACGAAGGCAGCGGCAGCGCAGAUGAAUUGCGGCGCCGGGCAGCAAGCUGCGCACCGCGGCGCUCCGGUGCGAGCUUCCCUAACUCCCGCUUGAGCUCCGCGUGGCCCUCCUCCAGCAGCCGUAUCUUCUUCAGCAGCUCGUCCGCUUCCAUUCGCCGGCGAAGAGGUACUAUUGGAUCAAAUCAAAUGGGGAUAGAUAGCGGAAGACAUCCGCCGGCGAAGACGUCACGAGCUGGUGAUCCGCUGGGUUUGGCGCCUUUAUCUUGCUUAGAGCCUGAGCCUGGAUCCAAACAAAUGGGGAUGGCAAGUAUCACAAUCUCUCUCGCCUUUCGCUUCCGCUUCCGCUGCAUGUGGUCUUUGUUUUGGCGCUGGGCGUUUUUCGGUUUGGAUUCUCUCACAAUCUUUAGUUUCUUACAAGGAAUUAACAAGUUGUGUGCGAGCUACGAGGUGGGAAAAAGAUUGAGGCGUGGCUCAUGCCUGACAUAAUGGAGCGCGAGGUGUAGCUCUGCUGUGCUCCGCCGCCCAUGGAGCUGUCUCCCCGCACAUGCCUCGCUGUCUCUGCUCCGCUGCCUCCUCGUUGGAAGCCCAAACUAAAUUCUCCUCUUCUUGUUCCAAGUUUCCCUUCCAUGCAUGUGCGGAUGUGCCGCGCUUUGUAUCAUCAGGCUGGUAACAUAAAAAUAAAAAUAAAAAUAAAAAUAGUAUCAUCCAUUUUUUUAAGGAAAAAUAUAUUUAUUCAUUAGAAGCAUAGUACAUUGUUGAGCGUGAUGUCGUGGACGCUCAUAGACUGAAGAGCUCUGUGUAGGCAUAGGAUGUGGACGAACUAACACCUGUUCUUUUUUAGCUAGUGGCUAGAUUAUGAGCUACACCAUUACAAUCUCUGGGGAUAUGUUUGAAAGUAAAGGAUGGAGGAAAUCCUGCUGUGAAUUUCAUGAAGCAAUGGUCUUAAAGACCAAUGACCUAGAUUCUUGAGGAGCUUCAACAGCUUGAGCAAGAGUAAGAUUGUCAGUGAGGAGAGCGCCCGACUGAAACUGAAGUUGCUUGCUGGAACCUGCUGCUAGAAGUAGAGCCCAAGUUUCAGCUUGGAUGGGUGAGCUGCAGGGGGGAGAGGUCGCUGAAAUUUGCACCUUCAAUCUUCCAGAGGAAUAGAAGUGCUCUAUGUAGACUCCAGGACCUGCAUUAGCUUCUGAGGGCCCUGUUUGACUUCGAGAGAGCUUCUAGGCUGCAUCAGCGUAUAUGUGAGUACCUGGAGAGGAAAAACUCAAAGCCAAAUCAUUAGCAAUCUGCAGCUGCACAUUGGUCCUGUGAGAGAUCUCCAAGCUCAAAACCUAUGCAAUCAAUAAGAGCUUGAGCAGAUUUGUAUAUUUGACGAGGAGUGGAAGGUUUCCUGUUAAAGAGGCAGUCAUUACGGGCCUUCCAUAGGCACCAAAGAAAAGUAAAAAUAUUUUGAAUAGAGGCAAGAGGGUGCCCAGAUCUGAGGAUGAAAGAAAUGAUUUCAGCUAAAUUCUGGUGGUUGGCUGCUAUGGGUUCGGAGCGCAUAUGCCAAGGUGUAGAAAACCAGGCUGCUUUGGAGAAGGGACAAAGAAAGAAAAGAUGAAGCUAUGGUUCCACACCGGAAACAAUAUUUACUUAUAUGUCUAGAGUAUCUCCCAGCUCUUUUACUUGUAGGUAGGGCCUUUCUGAUUAGUCUCCAAGCAAAGAGUUGAACUCUAGGAAUAAGCUUUUUGGAGGACCAAAUCAUAUGGAUAAGAGAUAAAUCAAGAGGAGGUAUACAUUAGAGGAAUCUGUCACAACUUCCUGAACAAUAAUCCUGUAAGCACUUUUAGAAGAGCAAAUACCUGCAGAGUUGUGCUUCCAGCAAAUACAUCGUCACCGGAAGACUGCAAUAUGGGGGUAUUAAGAAUGAUAGCAGAGGCUUGGGGGACUAAAAAGAUUAUGAAUGAGUUCAGCAUUCCAAACUUUAGAACCUGGAAUCCAUAAAUCUUUAACUGAUGCUGGAUAAACAAAGCCAGAGUUUUGAAUGAUGAGAUGAUCAUGUAUAUUCUUCCAAAUGUUACACCAGGGAGUACUCCAAAUAGAAAUAUUUCCAUCUAUGAUUUGAUAAAAAUAGGAAUUUUCAAUGUGGUGACAUACCUUUAGAACUGAUGACCAAAAGGCCGACUUGGGGACUGCCCUGUUCGCUUUCCAUAUUGUAGUGUCCGGGAAGUACUUGGCCUUUAAGAUCUAGGCCAACAUGCUAUUUGGUUCCUGUGCAACUCUCCAUGCUGCUGAACAAAUGAGACUCAUGUUAGUAGCUUGGAUGUUUUUAAUACCAAGGCCUCCUUCUUUUUUCGGUUUACAAAGGUCUGACCAAGCACGAAGGCACAGAGGCUUUGUCUGAACCCUUCUUCAACACCUGUCCACCAGAAUUUUCUAAUGAUCGAAGUUAGUUUAGCAAGAAAUUUCUUGGUGAAAAGGAUGUUAGACAUGUAGAAGAUGGGGAUCGAGGCGAAGACCGAAUUAAUUAAAGUUAGCCUCCCUGCAUGAGAAAGUUUCUUAGCUUUGAAACCAUUAAGUUUCGCCCUGAAUUUAUCAAGAAUAAAAGAGUACGCAGAAGAGCGAUCUUUAGCUGGGAGCAUAAGUGGAUGACCAAGGUGAUUCGUGUCUUUGUCCAAGUCCUGUACAGGGAAAACCUGCCUGAUAGCAUGCCUGGUUUGAAGGUCAACAUUAUUACUAAAAAGAAUAGCAGAUUUUGCUCAAUUGGGGGUUUGACCCGAAGCAUUGCAAAAGGAAUCAAUGAUGGUUUUCGCAGUGUGGAUCUCAGUCAUACAAUCUUGACCACAAACCAACAGAUCAUCCGCAAAUAUAAUGGAAUGGAUAGGGGGGCAGCCGGGGCCUAGUGAUAUACCUGAGAGUUGUUGAUCUUGAAGAGCCUGAUGAAGAGAGAUUGAGAGCUCAUUAAUAGCAAGGACAAAAAGGUAUGGAGAUAAUGGACAUCCUUGUCUUAUUUCCCUGGAGCCUGAAAAUUUUGCAAAAGUCUUCCCAUUGAUAAUAAAUGAGAAGAUAGGUGUGGAAAUGCAAUUUUGUAUGAGACGAAUGAAAUGACCAUUCAACCCUCUACGAAUAAGGGCCUGAGCAAUGAAGUUCCACUCGAGACGAUCAAAAACUUUUGCAAGAUCCACUUUAAGCAUGAAAGCAGGUUGAUUCCAAGAGCUAAGAAAGAAGGAGUGAGAGAUCUCUUGGGCAAUGAUGAUGUUGUUACUAAUUCUCCUACCUUCGAUGAAAGCUUGCUGCAUGGAGUGUAUAUAAUCAGGAAGGUGGCUUUUGAGACGGUUGGCAAGAGUUUUGGCAAUAAUUUUGUAGAUUACAUUACAAAGACUAAUAGGUCUAAAAUCUCGUGGCGUAUUAGACACCAUUUUCUUAGGAAUAAGAGCAAUGUGGGUGUCAUUAAUUCUAGGGGGAAGAGAGCCAAUGGAAUAGAAGUUUCUAACCGUGGUUGUAACGUCAUCAGCAAUCCAAUCCCAAGCUGCAAGAUCAAAUGCAACAUUGAAUCCAUCUGGACCAGGGGAAGCAUUCCUUUUCAUCUGCUUUAACACCUGAAAGAUUUCUUCUCUAUCCGGAACUGAGUAAGUGAAAUCAUGUGAGGGGUUAAUUGAACUAUGCAGGUUGAGAUUAGGUUUAGGAAUUACAUUGUUAGAAGUAAAUAAGUUGCGAAAAUAAUCAAUAAAAGCUUUAGCUAUUAACUCUGGAUCAUGGUGAACCAUACCUGCAGCGUCCUGGAUAGAUAUGACCGAGUGAUGGAAAAAAGUUGUAUUCCUAUCUCCUUGCACCGUCCAAUGCUUCUUUGCUCUUUGCCUGUAUUGUUAUGUGAUUUUUGUCAUUAUUUCUUCAUAUUGCUUGGCUAGUUCAGCUUCUUGAGAGUGGAUUUGGGUUUGCGGAGGCUGUUUUUGGAUCUGAGCUAUCUGAUCUUCGAUUUCUUCAAGUUGUUGGCUCAAAGCACCUGCAAGGUUAGUAGUUCCAAAAGCAAAGUCCUUGUUAGCCGUUUGAGCCCAACAGGAUUUAGCCGUGUUCUGAAAGUCAUUCUCCAUGAGUCACCAAUUUUUAAAUUUAAAAUUCAGUUUCGGCCUUUUAAAAGCAGACUCCGUAUCAAAUAAACAGGGUCAGACAUGAAGCGCUUGUUAGUCCAAGUAUAGGCUUGACCAUUGUAACCCAUAUCAAAUAAACCGGAACGCUUGACAAUAAGAUUAAAAGCACGCAUACGAGCUCGGUUAAUGCACUGAUUACUUUUAUCCACGGGACUCAUAAUAUCGUUGAAGUCACCCAUACGGAGGACGGGAGUACCUUGGUUAUCAUACACAAAUUCUUCCACCAAGUCCCAUAAUCUUGCAGUUAAACGAUGGUUAGGAUCACCAUACAUGCAAACUAAAGCGAAAGACAACCUAGAAGUCCUACUAUAAACCAAAGCUGUUAUGAGAUGAUUGGAGGUAUGCUUAACAUUCACAUCAACUUCAUCAGUCCAUAAAAGCCACAUACCGUUAGAUCGGCCCGACGAAGGAACAACUAAACUAUCGGAAAUACCAAAAUGAUUAUUAAGAUGUGAGGGAGAGAAUUUACAGGAUUUGGUAUCAUCCAUAUGAUAUUACUCUGCGUUACUAGGGGCUUCAUUUAUUGACUUAUAAAAAACAUUAUGCCUUGAAAAAACGUUAUGUUACCGGUAUCAUAUUAUGAUACCACUGCCAUCUCUUUUUUUUAUUUAAUGAGGUGCCACAUCAUCUAAAUGCCAACGUGGUUCUGCAUGAUACUAUCUUUGUUACUGACACUAUGACCAGCCUCAUCUCCAGUGGCGUCUCCUAAGCACAAGUAAUCAGCUUUUCGACACUGCGGUUCAGAGCAAGUCCAACUGCUCUCCUAAAAUUUCUCCCCUAUAUGUCAAAAUGAGGGACUCCCCUAAAAAUAUUCUAGUCUGAAAAUUGCCCAACUCCAGCAGUUCCCUAAAAGAUCUCUAAGAAUUUUCUAUAACUACCAUUUGAAACCCAACCGUUACUUCUUCAACGGCUUGUUUUUGAACAGCUGGAUUUCUAACGGUUACUUUUCUGAUCUAUAUAUACAUGAUCAUCUCUCACAAUCUGGGAAGUACCAAUCUCGAGCUCGAUUCAGGCUUGAUCCGAACCAAAAAGCCAGAGAAACGAGGAUGGGGACGUACCUGUCGACGCGCAUGGUGGCGGGAGGGAGCGAGCGGUUGCUCCCUGGCAUGGAUAAGGGAGGCCUCCACCACCCUGAUCUAUAGGGGAGAAGGUGGUGGAUCGGGGACGCCGAUUUUUCAGGGAGGGGAUAGGGGAACUGGUUGAGAGCGUUUUUUGCCUUUUCUUCCCUAAAAAUGCUAUUGGGGAGGUGAUAAGAGAACUGCUGGACUUGCUCUUAGAACUCGGAUCAUGCAUGGUAGGCAGUACGGCCGUUUGCAAGAGCUAACAUAUUGUAUUUGUACGUGAUAUUAAAGCAAUUCAUCCAAAAGUUAUUGGGAUAUGAGCAUCAUUGAACGUUAGGAAGACAAAAUUUAUCAAUCCUAGUAAUACCUAGAAAAGUAGGGUAACCAAUCCCACAACACACAAAGGUAUAGAAGUAUAUUGAGUCAAAUGAUGUUUUGAACACAAGAAAACAUUUUAUUUGUAAGCAAUUUUAUAUUGUCGGGCAAUGGAUCAAAUGGUUGUAAACAUACUGAUUGAAGUUUGUACGUCAUAUUAGCUUAAUAUCAUAAAUUAAAGUUCUGAUCACUUGCCAGCCACAAAGUUAAAGUUCGCAUCCAAAUUGGUCCAACGGUUGUUUACACUGAUUGGUUGUCUGUAUGUUUGUAGUAGUAGGUAGAAUUUUCUAUGGUUGUAUAUCAUAAUAGUACAAGAUUAUUGUCUUAAUGAAUAUUCUGUUGAUACUUGAAUUAAAGCUCAAAUUGCGACCUAUUCGCUCUUCUAACUUUGCAUGUUUGGUUCGCUACCUCAUGAGUCGCUCCUCGCUUGCGUAUGAUAUAAAAUUAGUAGCAGGAGUUAACAUUAUGGAAUCAUGUGUAGUCCAUAUCUUAGCAAUAAUAUGUUGACAAGUAGAUUUAGAGUUUUCAAAUAUCUUUAAUAAUUCAUCCUUACAAAUUUAUAGAUUAUGAUAAAUGGAGUUGCACUUGGUACUUCCUAAAAUUCUCAUGGUUUACGAAGAACCUGAUCUUUUCGACUUAUUGAUCUGAAGCCCUUAAUUGAGUUUUUUAUUUUGGCUUUCAGAACCGAUUUUUCCGGAAAAGCUACCCUUUUCCAACUUCCUAGAAAAUCAGUCACCCACAGGCUUCCAAACAAAUUUAGAAUAAAAAUAUAAAAUAAUUUAGAAGCAUAACCAAGUUUCGGGUCGACUUCUCUAGAAAGCUUUAGAGGAGUGUAGUUUAGUGGCAAAGCCGUGGCUGUGCCACCUACGGCAUCUACCCCCACCGCAGGAACCACACAUUUCGGAGAGAGAGAGUAUUAGAGAAAGAUGAUUAACAAAAAUGUAGUACUUGUGGCAGACUUAUUAAUGCUUUUGUGUCAGAUUUUUCUUUCCCUUUUAGACUUGACCACUACCAAUUUUUCGUAUUUUCUUUGCUUCUCUUUCUCCUCUCUUCUUUUGUUGCUCAAAUUUUGAAAGACGAAAUAAUUUACUCAUGGGACAUAUUUUAGUGAGUCAUGGUACAUAUACAACAAAUGACGGUACAUUGAUCGUUUCUUAAUGUACCCAUCGGUACUAACGAGAGUACAUGACAGUACUCAAAUCACAGAAUGAACAUCUACCAAAAGAAGACGAGUACCUCUUCAAUACUUAGUUGUACGUGAUGGUACUCAAAUCAAAGUACAUCAACUUAUAAUUGUACAUCAUGUACCGGGAAAUAAAAACACAAACAUUCAUCAAAUCAUAGUAUCUCGUCAUGUACGAUUCAUCAAAAUUUAGUACCUCAUGUGUAAAUAGUGUGUACAGCAACUCAUAAUUGUACAUCAUGGACCAGAAAAAUAUCACAGCUCAAACAUUCAUCAAAAAUUAGUACCUCGUCAUGUAUCCAUGGUACAUGAUGGUACUCAAAAAUUAUAUCACAAAUAUGAUAAAUACCUUAUCAAUUUGUGAUGCGAGUACAUCGAUCCACAACAAAAAUACAUAGAAAAAAAGAAAUAGGCAGCAAACUACGAACUUUUCAGCUAGCUAGCAGGCAAAUGCAAGUACCAAAUACUCAUCCCAUGUACCAAAUAGACGUGAACAAGAAAAAUGCAAGUACCAGCUAGGUACAUCAUGUACUCAUCACAUGUACUCAUCCCAAAUAGUAGCACAUACAUCAAAUUCACACCAGAAAUCCCAAAAGGGACGAGGAGGACGCGUGGCCUGGCGAGGGAGAGCACGAAGUGGUGGCCGAGCACCGGGAGUAGCAGCGGUCGCGGCGUCCCGACACGCGGAGCAGCAGCUCGCAGCAUGGGGAGCAGAAGCUCGCGGACCAGCACCUCGCGGCACAUAGAGCAGCAUUACGCGGAGCAGCAGCUCGGCAGGAGCCCGUCCCGUGCCGGAUGGGGACGGGAUGGAGGAGGAGGAGGCGGGGCCGCAAGCGCCGCAGCAACGGAGUCGGUCUUCCCUGCCAUGGCACUUGGGCUCUUGCUGGACGAAGAAAGAAGAAGGGGAGAAAAGAGAAUAGAGAACAGAGAGAGACGAGAGAGGAACGGGAGAGGAAGAACGUGGGUGCCAAGGAUUAGCCAAAAGUACAUAGAGAUUAAGAAGUGAAAGUGAACACGUGGAUGUAGAUAGGUGGGUUGGUACCGGGAGGUUUGGCGUUUAGUGGAGUACCUGUGCCUAAGCAAAAGUGGAGUAAGAAAAACCAGAGAAAAAUGAGUAUUUUAGAUCUUGAGAGAGGAUUUUUUUUCUUUGCCUCUCUUGAUGAUGGACAGCUCCGGCGCGGCGGCUGCUGCUACGGCGGCGGGACGGACGCGCGCGCGGUGGUGCUACUGCCGUUGCUUCCGGCGGUGGGGCCGCUGCUUCUGCUGCUGCUACUGCUGCAACUCCUUCCCCACCCAGGACGACCUCCGACGCGACGCGACGCCGCCGCCUGGCCCCCGCCUCUCCCUGUAGCUAGGGUGGUCUCCAGGUUCCACUCCCAUCCCAGGCACCCAGGCUCUGCUCCUUCUCCCCGCUAAUCACUCGUGUGACUCACGUGCCUCGUCGAUUCGGGCGUGCGCCUUCUAGUUGGUGUGGUGUAGUCAGCAUGAUUAGGUUGUUAGUUUGUUAUUCCGCUUCCGCGUGCCUGUCGCGUGAUCAUGGCGGGAGAUUUUGCUUCGGUUUGCUCCAGAUCGUCGUAGCUAGCAGCGUGGUGUGUCGUCGGGCGUUGCGUGAUGUCCACGGGCGGCCGGAGGAUCGCGUGAUCGCGUCCAGGCUAGCUGCUCCUCUGCUCUGCCGGGAUGGACCAGUUUGUUAGUUCAUUAGGUGCACUCUGCAGGUGAUCACUAUGUUAAUCUGUGCACGACCUUCUCAUGCUUGAUUAGUUGAUCUUUGUAAUAGGGAAGAUAUGCAGUUGAUUGUGUAUUGCUGUUGCGUCGGGCUUGUUUCGGCACCAGUGUGUAAACUAACUGAAUUCAGUAAUCAGUAGUGAACUGGGUCGGCAUUCCAGUGUGAAUUGCGCAGACUAACAGGUGAUCUUGUGAUUUGAGUAUGGCCGCGUGUGGGGGGUUCUAGUUCUUGUAUUCCAAAUCUUGCUCUGUUUGUAUGACAAAGAAAUGAAUGGAUAUUAAUUGGGUGUUUUCUGUUGCCUAUAAAACCACUCUGUGCCAUUCCAGAUUUGUCGCUGAUUACUAUUUGAACUAGUACUCUGCCAUGAUGCACUCUGUGGUUGAGCAACAAGUGUAAAUUCAAAAGAUUGUAUUAAUUUGAUCAAGAGGAAGUCAUUGAUGAUUGCUCUUGGCUGAUGGUACAGAUAGAAUAAUCUAUGUGUCAUUAGUUGUGAUUAUACUUUAUUUGAGUGUGCAUGAUUUACCUUCUUAACUGUUAUUAGCGCUGUAAAUUCAGUUCAUUGAUAAUAACACGAAGUUAUCUGUUGCUUCUACUAGUAUCAUGAAUUUAAUUGUUUCUGCUACUGGUGACAUAACCUAUAUGUUCUUGACAAAAGGCACUGGGCGCUGAUACGGUAAAAAAAGCAUUUCAUUGGGCAGAUACGGUAAAAAAAAACAUUGGGCGCUAAUUUUACAUGUUUUAGAUAGUUCUAAGCAACAAUCCAUUUUCUUAGCUUAAUGUCCUGCUUUCCGUGUUGGGUUUCCACAAAUGUUUGGUUUGACCUUCAUUUUGUUCAUUUAAUCAGGUUCACUUUUCGUUUACACAUAUGCGAACCAUGAGGAGAACUGUAUCAGGUUUUGUUGCUAUAGUUCACAAAGAAGUGCAAAAGACGUGAAACUUCAUUAGUUGUUUGGCUGGUUGCUAGACAAAUAUAUACUCCCUCGGUCCCUCAAAAAAGUGACGUGGAUUUGUAUUCCGGACGGAGGAGUACUUAUGUUGCAGCUAGACUAGUAGGCUGUUUGGAUUGGAAGUAAUCUAGUUUAGUUAGAAGUCCAUGACUAAAAUUUUACUACCAUGUGCAAUAACAGGGACCAAUUGUGCUUAUAUCUAUAUCAGUUUGCUAAACCAGAGGUGAAUGCUUCUUGGAACAUACAUUGAGUACUUUAAGGCAUAUGCUUGAACUGUAUAUAAGGUAAUUUCAUGUGCCCCUUUACCGUACAAUGCUUGAAUUACCUGUAUAUAAGGUAAUUUUAUGUAUAUAAGUACAUAUUGAUCAUCCUUGUACAAUCAUACUGCUCCUCUCAGUGUGCAACGGCUGUUUAGCCUGCUAUAAAUUCAUCUGGGUUUUGCUGGAGAUCGACAUUUUAAUUUGACUUGUCAUUAAUUGAGCAAUGCUCAUUCUGUUUUCAUUUUGUUGCAAUUGGCAUAAUUGCAUCCCUGUAAAUGCCAUUUUCAGAUCUAUCCUGGCAUAUAGUCAUGUACUUCCUCCGUUCCAUAAAGAUUGGGGCGGCUUUUUUUUUUUUGAAACGGAGGCUAAAGCUUUGCCUCAUCAUAUCUUCUAUAUCUAAGUAGAAAUCUCCCACUACCUAUUUUUCUCAACAUGCAAGCAUGUCACAUCAAACCAUGCCACCUUAUCAAGUCAUGCAUGACUUUCUUUUUUUCAAGCCAUGCAUGUAUUCAUUUACAAUUUUUGCAUUUAAUUAUCAAUUCAAGCAUCUCACCUCAUCAAUUAAUUCAAGUACUCACUUCAUCCUGAAAUAAUUGACGUGGAUUUGUAUAUUUUCAAGCCAUGCAUGUAUUCAUUUACAAUUAAUGCAUUUAGUUAUCAAUUCAAACAUAUGUCACCUCAUCGCUCCAUCCUGAAAUAAGCCUCUAUUUCAGGACGAAGGGAGUAUUAAUUUUUUGGGAAAAAUUUAUCUCUCUUUAUACAUAAUUUUGUCACGAAAACCAUGCCACCUCAUCAAAAUCAUGCAUGACAUUUUUUCAAGCCAUGCAUGUAUUCAUUUAUAUUUUUUCAUUAAUCUAUCAAUUCCAACCGUGACAUCAAUUUAAUCAUAUCUUCCUUUUUUUAAAAAUUGUUCCCUUUAUAUACAUCAUUUUGUCACGUACUCGUUCUGAUCCUAAAUUCUUGACUCAAAUUGUUUUUGACCAAAAACAGGAGGAGAGGCUACUACUGCUGUAUAUAUUAUAUAUAAAUAAUAUUUACAUAUUUACAAAUGUACAAAUAGGGGCAUUCUCCUAUUUUAUUCAGAAAAGAUCUAUCAAACUAGUAAGAGAAGGAGAAAGGGAUUGAGGCACCCUACAGCCUAGUAGAGAUAAAUCUGAUUUGAACUUUACUAACCAACCCUGGAAAUUGGCUCUCUCUCCCUCGAAAAUGAGUUUAUUUCUAAUUUUCCAGAUAUUCAAAGCAGCUAACGAAAACACCUCAAAAAAGAGAGGGUCAUUAAAUCUUCUUUUGAUCUCAGGAAGAGCUUCAAUGCAGGUAGAAUUUCUUGGCCAGUUUAUAUCAAUGUGUCUCCAACACCUUUGACUGAAUGGACACUCCAAGAAGAGGUGAUUCAAGGUUUCUUCACAUCCAGUGUUGCAAAGCACACAAUUCAAACUUGAAUCAAUAUUAAAGUGUCUCCUGGAGAGCAUAUUUCUGGUGUUCAAUCUGUCACUAAGAAGAAGCCAAGCAAAAACCUUCACCUUUAGAGUAUUUUUAGAUUUCCAAAUCCACUUAAAAGGGGCAGGUGUGAUGAUCCUGGAGUAACAAAGCUUAUAGAAUUUGCUUGAUGAAAAGGUAGUACCCCAAGAUGGCAGCCAAAGAUCAUUUCUGAGAACUGAAAUAUCAGCAUCAAUUAUUAACUCAUCCAGGACAUGCAUUUGCUCAAGAGCUUCUGGAGAAAUUGGAGUUAAAAAUCCUGCAGCAACUGAGCCAAGGUUGCAAUAUUUCUUAAAAAGCGUCUAGAUACAUGUAAUAUUUCGAUAACAAUUUAGGAUCGGAGGGAGUACUUCUUAAAUUUAAUUGUUUUAAAUGUAAAACAAGAACACUUUAUAUUUUUUUCCAUUAGGUUUAGUUAAUUUUAAACAUAUAUUUAUGCAUUUGUAUUAAUACACGGUUCCGCGGCAACGCGCGGGUCAUCAUCUAGUUGAUUAAGAAAGAGUGUUACAAGAGAAUAACAAAACAAAAUCUAGCCAAACCGGCACAUGAACGAACUACUCUCGCGGUAAGAAAGAUCUCAAAUCAAUGGCACCCGCAACCCCCCAAGUAGAGGCCUCCCUUUUAAUUUUACUUGCGACGACCAUGGGCAUAGAGAAGAUCUUCCAGAACACCCUCGCGUUUCUUUCAUUCCAAAUCUCCCAAGAAACAAGCAUCACCAAAGUGGCCAUGCCUUCUCGUCGAUUCCCUUGAAUGUUGAUAACGGAACACCACCAAUCCUUGAUCGAAUUAAAGCUUGACCAAUGUAACAAAUCAAUAUGAACGAGACCCAACCAAUCUCUGAUCAUUCGCCAAACAUUCAACGAGUAACGACAUUUGAAGAACAAAUGAGCCGCAGAUUCCUGCUCCCUCUUGCAAAGCUGACAAAGGUUGCAGUUAGGCCAUCCUCGCCGCUGCAGCCGGUCAGCUGUCCAAACCCGAUUCUGAAUAAUGAGCCACGCAAAAAGUUUGCACUUUGGUGGCGCCCAAUUCUUCCAAACAGCAGCCUUCAUAAUUGAACCGGCGGUUCCUUCAAAGUGAGCUCUAUAUGCCGAGGCCGCCGAAUAAACCCCAGAGGCACAGAGACUCCAAGUGAUGUCAUCCGGAACAGGUGCACGGCCUGCAAUCUUCCCCACAGAUCAAGAAUUUGAUGAGAUGCUGCACUGUGAGACCCUCAGAAAUAUUGAUGUUGCUAAUCCAGAGAUUAUGGCCCAAAGCUUUUUUGACACAUGAAUUCUUCAGCUUUGAAAUUGCAAAGAUGGAAGGAGUUGGGCUUGCGCCCUCCAAUCCAAAGGGAGUGCCAACCUUUAUGGAAUGGAAGAAGUAGCUAAUCUCUCUUCAGAUUUGUACAUAAGAAGUGUAUCAUUUGUCAUAUUUCUGUACUGAACUGCAAAAUAUGGGGACGGAGAGAGUAGUAUUUUUUAUGAACAAAAAUGAGAAACAAGAAACGAAAAGGUUGCUUCUUGUCAUGACUUGGCAAGCAAAGCAAAGCACCGGUUUAAGCAGGCAACACCAUGGCGCGCGAACAGACGCAGAGCUGUCUAUCUGUUGUUGCACGGAGACGGGGAGAAAGCGAAACGAGGAAGGAACUGCAUGCGGGGGCAUUGGAUAGCUGCUGCUGCUUCCACCCUUUUCCUAUUUCGUUGCCUAGCCUGUCUCAUGUGUCCCUACCUCCCAAGUUGUUCACUUACACAGACAGACACGCCUUCUUUCAUUUUUCCCAACUAGUACUGCUAUUGCCCAUCACACGCCUCUGUUCAGUCAUUCUCGCACCACCUCUGACCUCCCUCAACCACUGCUCUGGCUACUUCUUUUAUGCUUAAACUGCACCUUCUGCUGCAGUUCUGAUACUUGGCUGUGUAGAGUCUAGACUGAGCUCCCUGAAAGCUGAAACUCUGAAACAGACCAGCACCUCAGCUCCAUCCCUUCAUGUUUGCUCUGCAAGCAGCAUCAAGCCCAGAGCAUGCAUCUGAGCCAAAGCAACUGCUCGCUCAACUUUGACAUGGUCAAUACAGCACGAAAAGCCUUUAGCAACUUUUUUCCUUUGUCCACUUUCUGGCCGGUGCAAGUACUGUUUUUGCCGGAGUCAACUUUGUACGUCAUGGAGGAGUGGAUGUGGAGGGGAAGAUCUUUCCAUGCCAGAGAGAUCUCCCUCCUGGCCGGGGUCAACAAGCGGAUAUGGAUUCCAUCCGGACAAAAAAAAGCUUCAACCUGCAGCAAAUACUUUCAGUUCCGAUUCUGUCGUACAGGAAUGGGGGAGAUCGGAUCAGGUCCCUAUCCGUCCUACUUUGUCCCUCCAUCCAUUCGUCCGUCCACUAGCACUUGUAUGAUCCAUUCAUUCCUCCCCUGUUCCGCCGGAAGGGCGUCCUAGAAUCAAACUGUUCCGAGCUUUUUAGCCAGAUCUCUCUUCGAAAAGUUCACACCACAUCUUUUUUUCCUGUUAUUAGUAGCUUUUCUGUUGCUCUGAAAAGAGGCUAGUGGUAAUUGACUUGUUGCCCAACAUCUUGGUUCCUGGGGAAAAGGAAAGGAAUGUACAGCCGGUCAAUCUUUGUACAGGAGGCCUAGAGGAAUUAUCUUUCGGCUAGACAAGAUAUGUGAGAAUUGUUUAUUUCUGAAGAUCGUUAAUUACAGUACAGCAGGUUAGGUUAGCCUUAAUCAUGGAUGGGUACGUACUCCACUGUACAGCGCAAACUGGAAGAAGAAGUUAAAAGCAUCUUUUCCCCAUCCAUUUCGGGUGCCAUUUAUGAUCAGACAAGCAUGUCCAACUGUUAUGAACUCGGCAGGCAGCAUUUGGUCGAUCGGUCGGGAACCCCAAACAAAGAAAGAAAGAAACACACAAGGGUGGUGGAAGUGGAAGAAGCAGAGCCGGCGGCGCCAUUGACGAGUGAGUGAGUCCGUUAAGUUAGUUGCUGCCGCUGCAGAGGUCGAGCAGCUUCUUCCUCCCCUCGACGAUCUCGUCGAACAGGUCGUCGAUGAGCGCCACCAUGUCGUCGCAGCCCGACCGCAGCGUCCCGGCCCACUGGGCCACCUCCUCCGCCGCGGCGCCCGCCCCGCUGCCGCCGCCCCUGUCCAUGGCGUCCUUGAGCUGCUCCACGGCCGUCCUGGCGCGCCGGAACUCGUACAUCAUGGCCCCCGCCGCGGACGCCCUGUCGGCCUCCGCCGCCGCCCGCUGCUGCGCGCGCGACAGCGCCGACGCGAACGCCGGGCCGAAGUGGGCGCCGCCGCAGUCCCCAGGAGCAGUGGAGCCGGCGCGGGAGGAGGGCGAGUAGUGGAGCAGGCCCCAGGAGAGGAGCGUGAGGAGGAAGGAGGCGAGCAUCCUGGUGGCGCAGAGCACGCCCCGGAAGCCGUUGAAGCCGCUGAGCGCCUUGGCGGCGUCCGGCGGCACGCCCUCGCUGAGGCGGAGUGCGAGCUCCUCGCCCCGCGUCUCCACCAGCGCCCUGUUCUCCUCCUUGAGCGCCGACGCCUCCCUCCUGCACACCGAGAUCGCCCGCGUCACCUGGUCACAAAUUAAUCACCGAUUCGAGCCAUUAAUUAACCAUGGCAUGAUGCAAUGCAAAGGUUAAUUGAUCGAUCGAAUUGGCUUGCCUGGCGGGAGAGGUUGGGGCUGGCGCCUGAGGCGGAGGUCUGGAGGAGGGAGGCGGCGUGGGCGGCAGAGGCGGAGAAGGCCUCGAUGGCGGCGGCGCCCAGGCGGAGCGCGGCGCAUGCGUCGCAGAGGCGGGAGGUCUCGUCCAUGUACUCGUCGAGCCAGGCGGCGCCGCCGGGGAGGUGGAGGGAGGCGACGAGGCGGGUGAGCCCCGCGUGCGCCGCGCGGAGGAGCGCCAGGGCGGCGCGGAGGGACGGCAGCGAGAGGAAGGACCCCGACGCCAGGGAGCGGUCCAGGUCGUCCAGCCCCCGGGCCAGCGUCGCGUAGAAGGCGGCCGCCGUCGAAGAGGACGGCUUCAUCAGGGCUAUACCGGCAGUCCGUGUUUGUGGGAAGCCAGAGAGAGAGAGAGAGAGAGAUGAGCUGUGCUGUGUGCCCGUGUGUCGUAAUAAUGGCGCGGCGCGAAUGCAACCGUGCGGUGGGGGAGGAGGACGAAGGCGACCUUGUUCUUACUCCCAAGACAACUAGGCAAGCCAAGGCAAGGUGAAAGCGAUGUGUGGAGCUAGCUUAGGCUGCCCCUCUCUUUCAUGUGGCCAUGGAGGCUGGCUGGUCCAAGAGAGCGAGAUGGGAUGGCGAAUUGGCGAUGGGAAGAUGGAAACUCUCUGUGGGGCUAGCUGUGCCUUAUAUAGGGCCGGCAUUCUGCUAGCUACGGCCUGGAGUAAUACGGCGGGUGCCUACUGUGGAGUAUCAGCCAGCCGGAGCCGCACACGCGCUUGCCCACGGACGGACAACGGCAGGCAGAGUCGGUGGGUCGCAGGAGACCGUGAUGAGUCUUUUGCGAAUUUCUAACUUGAUUUAAACUUGUGAGACUUCGUUAAGAUAUCGAGUAAAAUAGACAUGAAUCCAUAGACUCUAACGAAAUAAACAUUUUAGCCCACGAACUCACAGAACGCACACCUAAGUCCAUAAAGUGUAACACUUUGGUCCAGAAACGGUUCGGCCAGACUAAAACGACGUGGCCGUCACAUCGGCUAAGGGCAGGACGGGGGGUUGGUACCCCUCUGUCUUAGGGUGUUCUUUUUUGCAUCCAAAGGGAGAUUAGGAGACGAACGGUUCGGCUUCCGCAUUGCGUUCGUGCGCUCUGCUCUGCCUCUCUCCCCCUCGACGCAUCGGGGCGAUCAAGAGAAGUAAAGAGUAGGAAGAAGAAAGAAAAAGAUGAAAAGACCAUCCUACCCUUCUGAGUUUGGGGAGGGGGGUGUAUUGAAUUGGGCCUCGAUGCAAGUAGAGCCCACAUUUAAUUUCGACUGCUGAGAGUUGGCUUCAUGCCUUCAUGUCUAGACCCCGAAACUUUUGCUCUGGUAGAGUUUAGAGCGAUCGCCAUAAUGGAGGUUUAGAGCAAAUUGCAGGAACAUCCUGCCCAAAACUCGUACCACAUUGCGUUGCAGCAUUUUUUUUUCCGAUGUGUAGCAUUCAUUUCAUAGGAAUUGAGGUGCUAGAUUCCUAAGGACUGAUCCCAGAUUGAUCUAAUUCCUCAGUGUAGAUUAGGUGAGACCUCAUUUAAAAUUUCUAAGGAUUGAAGUGUACAUGACAUUUCAAUCCUCUACUUUUUCCAUUCCUAUGAUUCUAAAAUCCUACAAACCAAAUAGGCUCUCCAUCUACAGCAGCACUUAGAUCUCCGGGAUCUUAUUCCGAUUCCAUACGUACUCAACAUCGUGUAGUACAAGCGAACUGAGCCUAACUCAGGUGGUUGGUUCCUUGUGGUGGAACCAGCCCACCAAAGUUCAAGUCCCAGACUUGGCAUGGGUGCUCGCAUUUCCUGAAUUUAUUCCAGGCUUUAACCGGCGUUGUGCUUUCAGUGGGAGUGACGUACCCGUCAACUACGAGGCGCCUGUGGUGAUUUCGUCAAUCUCAAGAUGAUCAGCCAGUGGAUCAGUCUCUCGGAGGUGCUCAUUGGAGGUGUUCAUUGGGGUAGGGUGUGCGUGCGUGCGUUCAUAGGGAUGAGUAUACGUGCUUGUGUGUGAGUGCUUGCGUCUGUACUGUGUUUUCUAAAAAAAAAACAUCGUGUAGUACAAAGGUACAUUCUCCUGCUUCUAAAUAGUUGCAGAGAUAUGCUGAUCUUAUUUGACAAUAUAAUACCACUCUUUGAUUGGCAAAUACUAAUAUAUACAUCGCCGAUCGUAAGUACGUACAUUCUCAUUUGAAUAAAAUGUUCUUUAUCUUGUGAUGGGAUCGACAUGAAACGUCUGAACAUAAUUAAAAGUGAGUCCAUGUCUUCACUAACCUACACUACUUGCAUAUAUUGCCGCCUUCUUCUCCUCCUCUUUUCUUCUUUUUAUGACAAAAACAUAAUCAAAAGGUGCCUCUCAGGUUUCAAAAGGUCCUAAAAGUUCCCAAUGGUACAUGUAAAAAUGUUUUCCUUUUUGGUACGUAGAAAUAAACAAAUAUGAUCAUUAUGUACCUGUGCUCUAAAAAAAUAUUGACCACUAAAUUUGCUUUUUACAAAACUCAUCGUUUUCUGGUAAUAGAUGAUCACAAACAUGCAUGGGUAGAAAAAUAUUAACAUUUGAAAAAUUGUCUUUCCCGUGGGAGCGCAACUUUGAAUUAACCUUAUCUACCACCCAACUACAAGAGCGACGAACUGGCCCUCACAGAAUGAGUAAACAUUUAGAAUUGUCAAAAGUUUCUAGCACAUGAACAUGUAUCAUGUAUGUGCGUUUUGUGUGCCGCCAAUUUUUUAAUUUUAAGGCCGGCAAAAAUAUUAAUGAAAUGGAACCAUUUUGCACUCAGGGCUGAAAUACACUCUCAUUAAACAUUUUCACACAAGGCACAAAACUUAUUAUUUGUUUCCACCAAAAAAAUUUAGGGACACCAAAGACACGAAAAUGUGAAUAUGCAACAUCCAACUAUUACACAAUAGACAUUUUAAAAAAAUCACUCAGGAGUGUUUGCUAGUUUUAGCUCAUCAUUUUGUUAAAUUUCUGCAGCCCACGCAUGAAUUUUUCAUGAAGUCUUAAAGACUCAUAAUUUGGAGCUGUACCACUAAAUUGGCACACUUGCUUCUGUUUCCCAGGAACCUGGAUUCUUGAGAAGUAGUGGCAGUGGUUAUGGUAGGCUAGAAACAACAUUGAUUGAUUCUAAAGAAAAGGUCGUUGAUUGUAAUAUCGAAAUGAUUACAUGGAUGCCGAAUUGCUGAUAGCUUUCAUUUCAUUUCACUUCUGUUCCCAUUCAAUCCCAACGAUCGAUGGCAAUGUUGAAUAUAUCAGUGCAAUGUGUUCACGGUGGUUUAUUACCGAGACUAAUCAUCUGUUCCUCUUUUCAAGACUUUGGAAUAAUGAUUCACCAUUCUGUUUGGGAAUCAUGAACUAUGUGACCACACGGAUCAAACAAGUUUCUUUCUUUUUGUUCCGAUCAAUCACUCGCUCAAAACCCCUACUAAUUCCCUUGAGAUCCUUGGGAAUUGAAGUAGGGGAGGGUGCGUAAUGCGCUGCAUCAAAUCCAUAUCUUGAACCACUGUGUAGAUCUUCUUUUCAGAUUCUCCCUUGGCCCAAGCUCUCUGCUUUGUCCUCUGGCAAUUGAUGCAUCUUAUUGGAAUCCUCCUGUUUUUUUAUGUGCAUAAUAGUUAUCUGGCACUUCCUUUGGGGCCUUUACAUAUUCCAAGCGUAAUAAAUAUGUUAUUAUUCGGUCAAAAUAAAAUAAACACUAUGCUACUACGCUAGUCUAUUUCAAACUUGAAUAAAGAAAAUACUCAUAAGGAGUGUAUUUCAAUUGUAAGCUGCGGAGCCUACUCGGUUUUGUUUGAAGCUAACACUUUUAACAAGUUCCCAACAAGUGUUUUUUUUUUCUCAACUGAACUGAAAUACUCCUUCCAUUUGUAAAUAGAUGACUCUUUUUACAUUUGCAUGGUCUUCAGUAUAUAACUUAGGCUAUAUAUAUGAACUUUUCACAUGAACAAAUAAAAAAAAUAUAAACUUACCAUACCAUGAAAAUAUUUUCCGUAACCAAGAUAGCAUGAACAUGUGAGCAAUCUGAAUUCAUUUUCAUAUACUAGUAUUCAAAGUGUGAGAUGGAUAAUAUUGAUUCACUUUUCCAAUAGAAAUUAUGCAGGGUUCUACUUUCGUUACGGAAUCAAACACACAUGAUUGUCUGAAGGAGUGAUCUUUUUCUCAAAAAUACUACUACUAUUGCAUAUUUUAGGCAUUUUCAGUAUAAUUCCAAUGAGAACUUUAUAAUAUAGGCACAGCAGAUCUAUAAUUACAUGUUCUCUUAGGUUGGUGUUCGUGGGUUCUUGGAGAAUGUGAUGCCCGGACUCGGAGGAAGGCAUGUUGGUCCUCCACGAAGAUCUCAUUAUCUACUUGAAAAGCCUAGUCUUCAGCACACUCACUCACCACUUUAGGCUGUCCUCUAGUUAUAUUUUGAGUUUUUGACGAUGGUCUUCCAACUGAAAAAAAGAAAGAAAAGGAAGCAUAUUUUUUUUAGAGACCAGCAUACUAAUUUAUUCUGCCGGUCUUGAUUUCAAGCUAAGCAAUGUGGUCACUCCUCAUUUGAUAUAUUAUCUUCUUCUUCUUUUUCCAGUAUCAAGGCAGUAGCACUAUCUUUUUGUAAGGUGUUGUCUUGCCUUAACUCUAGUAACAAUAGCAGAGAAGCAAGUAUUCUUUUACCAUUAUGAUUCUUAAUCAGCUUUCAUCUCAACUCAUGACUUCAAAUCACUUAUCUGAUUCUUUAAUUGAACUAUGAUAUGUUUUCUGAAGUUUCAAAUAUCAUACGCAUCAUCAUCAUAAUCGAUCACUUUUUCCUGUGGUACCUCCUGUCAAUGCUGUAGUAUCGACAUGGUUGAAGAAAGGGAGUCCAUAUGUCAGCAUCUCAGCUCUUCUCCCCCCUCCUCCAUCUUUUAUCUGCAAGUGUUCCUUACCCAUUACAUAACUGCAAGAAAAGCUUGGACAGAGCCUACCUAUUCUGAGCUGAGCACAAUGGGUCCCAAGAAAUUUAUUUGGAGUAUCUAAUAUGCAUAUCAUGUGCAAACUCAGCAUUUUUGGAUGGUGCAAAACCAUCAGAGAUAUAAAUAACAUACUAAUAGUACUAGCUAGAUGCAUGAGCUUUGCUAGGGAUAAAAAUGUACUCCAUCCUUCCCAUAUUAAGUGUGGCAACUUUAUCUAGAUAUGCAUAUAACUACACAUUAAAAUACAUAUGAAUAUAUGUAUAUUUGGUAAGUAGACAAAGUUACAACACUUAAUAUGAAACAGAGACAGUAUAAUGUUAUAUUAGGUUCAGCUUGACACCAAACCUUCACACACAGUGCCCCUCAGUCCACAACUGUAUAUAUAUCUAGCCGUGGCUCUGUGACACGUGACAUAUUCCAAUUUUUGCAGUAGAGAUGUAGGUGGUGGGAAGUGGUGAAAGACGUGGACUAACCACGAGUGGUGUUUCUUUAACAUUCAGCAUGCUUGUAAAUUUUCAUCCAGAAAAAAAAAAUACUUUGUUUCUACUCUCUCCGGUCCACAACGAGUGUCAAUGAUUUAGUAUAAGAGUCUUUCAACAUUUAACAAACAACUUUGUACUAAGUCUCUGACACUUAUUAUGGAUGGGAGGGAGUAGAAGAAAAAAACAAAUUUCAUGCUUCUGCAUUAAGCUCAAAAUGAUUCUUUUACACGAGCAUUUACCAAAGGCAGAUAUACUGACAUGUAUAUUUUUUUUGUAACUUUUAGAUUAAGAAACAAAAAAAAACACUCAAGAGGGCUGCGGUGCGGAAUUACCAAGAACAACCACCCACUCUCAUUAAUUUAUGGUAGUAAAGAUCAUUCGGAAAGCACAAUUUUAGACUUCUAGUCAUACCACUGAGACACCUCUCGAUUAUAGGCAGUACGAAGGCAUCUAGUACGGAGGCACCGUAGAUUCCACAUCACGUGUGUCUCAUUAAUACAGACUAUCCUUAUGGUAGUAGAUGAAGUAUUUGUUGAUAACGAGGUGUCAGUGGUGAUGUCAUUAAUCUCAAGACUACAUGAUUCCGUUCUCUGCCCGCUUUGUAUGAAUGUGCGCGCAUCAUUGUAAGUGGUGUUUCAAGUAAAGGAUAUACACGAUAGGUAUAAUUUAGGGAGACCUACCUGUCGGUGGCUGGUACUAGUGACAUUUUUAUUAUACAGUUCUCCUCCCUUCCGAUCCAUAAAGGGUUGAGGUGACUUGCACGAUCGUUGGUCUUACUGUUACAAGCUUAAUUUAGGAUAGAUAGGUCAAGAAUGACCUUUUGGGAAUUCUCACAAUUUUUUUCACCCUUUCACAUUCCUAGCAGCUAAGCCAGCGAUGUGUCCUGUGUGAUCUCACAUGUGUUCUUCUUAUUCUUUUAUUCUCUUUUGGACAACGGCCACCUGAAACAUUCUUAAGAAAAUAUUGGCUGGCUCUACAUCCUGAACUGUGCCCUUUUCUGAUAUGCUUUUUCUUUGCAUGAUGGGGUCUUUCUCCCUCACUCGGCUACCUACCUAGCUUUGCUUUCGGUCUAGAAAUUAGCCAGGAAAUCUUACCGAAAUCUAGAGCAGCCGAAUCCACCACUGACACUGAUUACCUUGGAAUCUCCAUAAUGCUCAAAAUUCGCUAAUCAUGCUGCCCACACCCACCACACCACACCGCUAGGUCC
rnacentral:lncRNA from 1 species